UCGUGUUCCUGCCCUCUCGGGUAGAAACCCCCCACCCUAUGUUUAUACCUAUCUUCGUUUCCCUGGCGGGCCGCCUACGGGCGCUGGCUCCGGCCGGACCGCGCCCGCCGGGGAUCAUAUAACCCUGCUUACAAGUCUGUCCGAGUACUAUAUUAAUAGUUA
rnacentral:misc_RNA from 1 species